rnacentral:piRNA from 1 species
UAGGUUCAUUGUGCUACUGGAAAGUUG